rnacentral:tRNA from 1 species
GGGAACGUAGCUCAGUGGUUAGAGUAUUGGCCUGUCACGUCAAAUGUCGUGGGUUCAACUCCCAUCGUUCCCG